UACGGGGGGGGCAAGCGUUGUUCGGAAUUACUGGGCGUAAAGGGCUGGUAGGCGGCCAACUAAGUCGGAUGUGAAAUCCCCAGGCUUAACCUGGGAACUGCAUCCGAUACUGGUCGGCUUGAAUCCGGGAGAGGGAUGCAGAAUUCCAGGUGUAGCGGUGAAAUGCGUAGAUAUCUGGAGGAAUACCGGUGGCGAAGGCGGCAUCCUGGACCGGCAUUGACGCUGAAGAGCGAAAGCUAGGGGAGCAAACGGG
rnacentral:rRNA from 1 species